rnacentral:lncRNA from 1 species
AUAAAAUUAUGGUGUUUAUUCCAUCACAAUUAGCCUAGCAUUAAUCACACAACUACUUUUUUUAUUUAAUUUUUUUCUAAAUUACUUUCAGAUAUACCAAACUGGAAUGGCUUCUUAGGGGUCUCCUAUUUUUUGAUUAAUUGACCCAUUGUUUUCAUUGUACAUAAUUUAUUACCAUGUCAUUUUCCACGAGAAGUAUUUUCAGUGUCAUACCACAGCAAUUGCUGCACAUGGCCCUAUAUCCCAAGUGUAAUUAAAAAAAGGUUUUUAUAAACAGUGUUCUUUUUAGUAACCCAUUUAAAAAGUUGACCUCCUUAUUUAGCAAUCUAUACACACGGACCUGAAAUUCAGUACAUUUACAUGUACUUUCAGGUAGGUGAGUAAUGUGUACUAAUACAGCCAAGGUAAUAAUGAAAAAUGUUAUUUCAAAGUCUUGAGUGAAUUUAUCAUGCAGUUAAUAUUUCUCCGUUAGCUUCCCUUCACAUUAAGCAUUGGAGUCUGUUUUGGAGGAUGCUUUAGUAAGACUUCAGAUAUCAUGUGCAAGAUUGUAAUAUCAAGGUAGAGUACUGGAAACACUUUUGCUUAAUGACAUCUCAGCAGACCCAGAUCUCAGACUAUUGCAUGUCUCUUAAUUCCAUGCAUACCUGUUUGAAAACCUUUACAGCUUUUUCUUUGACAUUUUGAGCUUACGUGAAGGACAAGACCAAACCAUAAGCAUUUCUAAUUUCUCUUAUAUUCCCUAAAAUGCCUCGGGACACCGAGUUGAGCCUCAAUAUAUACAUAUUUGCAUUACAUCAUGUGUUCCACCUUGUACAAUAUUACAUUUUACUAAGAUUAAUACACUGCAUUGUUUUCAACUUGUUAGCCAAAUUUGACCAGUUUUAGAAUGUGCAGAUGUUUUAUCAGAUGAGUGGCAUUCCCUAAUGCAAGUUGUCUUCAUAUAAACUGUGCGCCAAGGCAUAGUCCAUAACAUAAUAUGUUUAACCUCUAAUUCAUCUCAAGAUAUAAUUUUGAAUCUUCAAGCCGUUCAUAAGACUACACACAUUGACAGACCAUUUAUGCCAUCCUGUAUGCCUAGUAGCACUUUUUAACUUUAAAUAUUUACGUGCAAGAAUCGAGUUUGGAACAGAGAACAUUACUAUUUAAUACCAACAGGUUUUAAAGACGUAGAUCAGGGCAACAUAUGUUGACAUUUAAGAUAUACCAUAAAUAGUGUAAAUACAGGUUUCAACUCUUAAAAACCACAAAAUAAAGGAUUUUCUUCCACCUAUGAAUGUUUGGGUUAUAUUUUUAAGAUCAAUUACUUAAAAUAAAAUAAUUUAGACAUCUUCGUGAUAAAUAUUGCAAGAGACAUUCACUAAAUAUUGUGUAUAUUGCAAAUGGACAGCAUGUUUUGCCAAAGCUGCAGGCAUUGAGCCAUGGUUUGACUGGCAAACAGACAGCCAUAAUAUCCAGGUUUACAGAGCUGAUGGGGUUCAACAUAACUUUAAUCACCAACACAUAAUGGCAAAGUUUUGACCUGAACAUAAACUUAAAUUAAAAAGUCUGACAUCCCCUUAGAAUCUGAAUUUAAAAGCAUUGUAAAAAGUACUUGGCUAUUUUAGUCUUAUUAUGUUUGAUAAUUUCUAGAAAUGGUUUACAA